rnacentral:tRNA from 1 species
GGCUCAGUAGGUAGAGCAACUGACUUGUAAUCAGUAGGUCACCAGUUCGAUUCCGGUA